GAUCCAAAGCACAUCUAAAACAAGCUAGUCUGUUAUUAAUUUGUUUUGUUCAGCAAGAAUGAAUCCGAACUCUACUCAAAGCUCCAGGACUUCUGGUGGUCAAGAUAAAAAAAUUGAAUCCCCAGCAACACAUUUGGCUCCUGCGGCAAGUUCUUCCAAUGCAACUGCUCCUGCAUCUACGAAAAGUAAAAAGGGUACACAUAAAUCCGUAGCACCAGAUUUGGCUCCCGCGGCAAGUUCUUCCAACCAACGUGGUUCUAAGAAAAGCCAAGGACGUUAACUCUUGGCUUCACCCAUGUUAAUACAACAUGAAAUGGCAAACAGGUUUAUUUGCUAGUGGAACAUAUGUCCGAAGAAAAUUUACAACAAAGUAUACGUUGGUUAAAAGUUCAGUGAUUGUGUGGAAUUGUUUUAGACUCUAGUGUUUACAAAUAAAUUAUUGUAAGUAGGAAGAAGUGCCUAUUAAUUUCGAAUUCACAAGUCUUUCUAAAUUUCUAUGUAAGUUUGUAUUUGCUUUUGAUGGUUUAUUUAUAAAUUAAAGCAGUAUGUGAUAAUCAAAUUCCAUUCUAAUGAGGUGAAGGCAGGUUCAAUUCGUAAGUUUGUAUUUUAAGUUUUUUUAUUAAGUAAAUAAUAAU